rnacentral:rRNA from 1 species
UACGUAGGGGGCAAGCGUUGUCCGGAUUUAUUGGGCGUAAAGAGCGUGUAGGCGGCCAGGUAGGUCUGCUGUGAAAACUCGAGGCUUAACCUCGAGAUGUCGGCGGAAACCAUCUGGCUAGAGUCCGGAAGAGGAGAAUGGAAUUCCCGGUGUAGCGGUGAAAUGCGCAGAUAUCGGGAAGAACACCCGUGGCGAAGGCGGUUCUCUGGGACGGUACUGACGCUGAGACGCGAAAGCGUGGGUAGCAAACAGG